AGCGCCUUGGAGUAGAUGGUCAACUCGCCGGGCUCAUAACCCGGAGAUCGCGUGGUUCAAGUCCCGCAGGCGCUA
rnacentral:tRNA from 1 species